rnacentral:tRNA from 1 species
GCGUCGGUGGCACAAUGGUUAGGACUCUCGCCUACCGUGCAAAUGGUCAGAGGUUCGAUCCCCUGCCGACGCA